rnacentral:tRNA from 1 species
AAUAAGGUGCCUGAUAAAAAGGAUUAUUUUGAUGUAAUAAAUUAUGUAUAUAUACCCUUAUUA